rnacentral:rRNA from 1 species
AUUGAACGCUGGCGGCAGGCUUAACACAUGCAAGUCGAGCGAGCGGCGGACGGGUGAGUAAUGUCUGGGAAACUGCCUGAUGGAGGGGGAUAACUACUGGAAACGGUAGCUAAUACCGCAUACCAUCAGAUGUGCCCAAAUGGGAUUAGGUAGUAGGUGGGGUAAUGGCUCCACUAGGCGACGAUCCCUAGCUGGUCUGAGAGGAUGACAAGCAACACUGUAACUGAUACACGGUCCAGAGUCCUACGGGAGGGAGCAGUGGGGAAUAUUGCACAAUGGGCGAAAGCCUGAUGAAGCCAUGCCGAGUGUGUGAAGAAGGCCUUCGGGUUGUAAAGCACUUUCAGCGAGGAGGAGUUACUCGCAGAAGAAGCACCGGCUAACUCCGUGCCAGCAGCCGCGGUAAUUC